rnacentral:rRNA from 1 species
GAACGUCGUGAGACAGUUCGGUCCCUAUCCGUCGUGGGCGCAGGAAAUUUGAGGAGAGCUGUCCUUAGUACGAGAGGACCGGGAUGGACGCACCGCUGGUGUACCAGUUGUUCCGCCAGGAGCAUCGCUGGGUAGCUACGUGCGGACGGGAUAAAUGCUGAAAGCAUCUAAGCAUGAAGCCCCCUCCAAGAUGAGAUUUCCCUUUGAGUAAUCAAGAAAGACCCCUCAGAGACGAUGAGGUAGAUAGGUCACGGGUGGAAGCAUGGCGACAUGUGGAGCUGAGUGAUACUAAUCGGUCGAGGCCUUGUUCUA